GCUUUAAUAGCAUAAUUUAAUGCACCAGAUUUAAGCUCUGGAGAUAAAAUUUUUAUUUUUAAAGUA
rnacentral:tRNA from 1 species